rnacentral:rRNA from 1 species
UACGUAGGCAGCAAGCGUUGUUCGGAGUUACUGGGCGUAAAGGGUGCGUAGGCGGUCCUAUAAGUAUGGUGUGAAAUCUCCCGGCUUAACUGGGAGGGUGCGCUAUAGACUGUGGGACUAGAGUGUGGGAGAGGAAAGUGGAAUUCCUGGUGUAGCGGUGAAAUGCGUAGAUAUCAGGAGGAACACCAAUAGCGAAGGCAGCUCGCUGGGACGUUACUGACACUAAGGCGCGAAAGCGUGGGGAGCGAGCAGG